UCGGAUGAGGUGCAUGGUGCAUACCCGCUCUUUGUAGAAAAAUGGAAGCGGGAAGCCUGGGUUCGACUCCCAGCGUCCGAA